rnacentral:rRNA from 1 species
UACAGAGGUGGCAAGCGUUGUUCGGAGUUACUGGGCGUAAAGGGCGCGUAGGCGGCUUGGUCAGUCCCGUGUGAAAUCCCUCGGCUCAACUGAGGAACUGCACGGGAAACUGCCUGGCUUGAGUUCGGGAGAGGGAUGCGGAAUUCCAGGUGUAGCGGUGAAAUGCGUAGAUAUCUGGAGGAACACCGGUGGCGAAGGCGGCAUCCUGGACCGACACUGACGCUGAGGAGCGAAAGCCAGGGGAGCAAACGGG